rnacentral:rRNA from 1 species
GAUGAACGCUGGCGGCGUGCCUAAUACAUGCAAGUCGAGCGAACGGACGAGAAGCUUGCUUCUCUGAUGUUAGCGGCGGACGGGCGAGUAACACGUGGAUAACCUACCUAUAUGACUGGGAUAACUUCGGGAAACAGUAUCUACUACCGGAUAAUAUUUUGAACCGCAUGGUUCAAAAGUGAAAGACGGUCUUGCUGUCACUUAUAGAUGGAUCCGCGCUGCAUUAGCUAGUUGGUAAGGUAACGGCUUACCAAGGCAACGAUGCAUAGCCGACCUGAGAGGGUGAUCAGCCACACUGGAACUGAGACACGGUCCAGACUCCUACGGGAGGCAGCAGUAGGGAAUCUUCCGCAAUGGGCGAAAGCCUGACGGAGCAACGCCGCGUGAGUGAUGAAGGUCUUCGGAUCGUAAAACUCUGUUAUUAGGGAAGAACAUAUGUGUAAGUAACUGUGCACAUCUUGACGGUACCUAAUCAGAAAGCCACGGCUAACUACGUG